UUUUUUUCCACUAGCAGAAGCAUAUGCUGCUCAUCUCAUUCCUACUGAUAGCCCAGGAAUGCUGCAUCCCAGCAGCGAUGGCCCUGUGCCUCACCCAGCAGAUAACAGCCCUGUUCUGCACUCGGAUACGGACGCAUAAAGCCAGCAGCAGUACUCAUGCAAAAAUCAUGAGAUUAAGCACCAGUUUGAGAAUCCUGCAAACAGGGAAGAAAGGGGCUUGGACCUGAGGGCAGUCGGGUCUGCUCUGCAGUGUGGUCAACGCGGGGUCAACGUCAGUGCCGGUUUUUCUAGAGGCAGCAUUGGUGGAACUUCAGCAUCAGCUCGUGUCCUUCUUACCCAGCAUGCUCUGACCUUCAGAGAUGCCUCAGGUGAAUUUUUGCUGCUUGUUCUCUACUUGGCUUUGCAGUUGUUCCUAGUGGAAGAGUGUGACCUAGCUGUUGGCCAGUGUCAGGCUCGCAGUCCAUUUCUGACCCCAUGGCCAUUGCAAACAGAGGAAGGUCACCAAAUAGACCUUGGAGUUCAGGGGUGGGGAGAGAAGGACAAGAUCGCCUUUUGGAUGCUUUGUGAGCUUGCUGGCCCACUUUUACAACCCGUGGCACAGGGUGUGUAGUACACAGCGUUCCAGCACGCUGAGGCUUCCAGAUAAACUGUGCUGAUAAGCCAUGCCAGUGGGUUUUUUGGCUCCUGUGGAAAAGACAGCAUUGCACAUGACUUGCUUACAGCAGCUUCUGCCUGGCUAUUUAAAGUAGCCCAGUGGCGUAGUAGCCCUAGGUAAGUGAUCCAUAAAAAUCAUAGCAAAAAAUUGGAACUCUGUUAACGAUUGGGAUUCUUCAGCACAGAUCAGUGUGAGUAGCUCCCUGCAUAUGCCCAGCUUCCCAGGCACCAGGGGCUCAGGGCAGUGUGUUCUGGGAACAUCGUAAUGGCCAGAUUUUAAUGGUUUCUUCUU
ensembl:lncRNA